GCUCGAUUCAAUCUCAUGCACCAGUCCACCUUCACUAUUCAAAGCCUAUCAUCGACAGCGAAGCGAGAGUUAGAGGAACUGAAAUGGGUCAUGGAAGCUCGAAAUCUCCUCCAGAGGUCGAGGAAGAGUCUCACCUUUCUCGACCGAAGCAGAAGCUUCACAUCCACGGUCACCAGCACCCACAUCUCCGUCGUAUUUUUCGUCGUUCUCAUGGAAACGGCUAUGGCUCCGGUACUUCUUGUCUUAAACUCGUCAAUGCUGAGGAUUUUGCUGGAAUCGCUCUCCUCACUCUCAUUAGUGCGGAGAUGAAGUUCAAAGACAAGUGGCUUGCUUGUGUUUCUAUUGGAGAGCAGACUUUCCGUACAGAAAUUUCUGAUCAUACAGAAAAGCCUGUUUGGAACUCAGAAAAGAAACUUAUUUUGGAAAGGAAUGGGCCUCAUGUUGCUAGGAUCUCAGUAUUUGAGACUAAUAGAAUAUCAAAGAACAAUCUCAUAGGCUAUUGUGAGAUUGAUCUACUUGAAUUUCUAACACGGGAUUUGGAUUCUGACUUUGAAGUCUUUGAACUUUUUGAUCCUUCUUCAUCUGACAUCAUUGUUGGCAAAAUUUCUAUUUCCUGUUCUGUUGAGGAUCCAAUUGAAACAGAGAAAAGCUUUGCAAGGCGCAUCUUGUCAAUCGUGGAUUACAAUGAAGAUGGACAGCUUUCAUUCUCGGAGUUCUCUGAGUUAAUUAAAGCUUUUGGCAAUCAAGUGGCAGCUAACAAGAAAGAGGAGCUUUUUAAAGCUGCUGACAAGAAUGGGGAUGGUGUUGUUAGCAUGGAUGAAUUGGCUGACCUUCUUUCUAUUCAACAAGAAAAAGAACCUCUUAUUACUCAUUGCCCUGUUUGUGGUGAGAUUCUUGAAGUUUCUGAUAGGCUAAGCACAGUUGUUCAUUUGAGUAUCUGUUUCGAUGAAGGGACUGGAAACCAAAUUAUGACCGGAGGAUUUCUGACUGAUAAACAGGCUUCAUAUGGGUGGAUGUUUAAACUGAGUGAAUGGGCGCACUUUUCAGCAUAUGAUGUUGGUUUGAACUUUGGGUCCAGUGCUUCACAUAUUCUGGUAUUUGAUCGGAGGACAAAGAGACUAGUGGAGGAGUUAAUUGAUGGAAAGAUUGUAAUGUCAAUGAGAGCAAUUUACCAAUCAAAGAUAGGACUUCAGCUUAUAGACAAAGGUGCCAAAGAACUCUUGAUUAGCAUUUCUGAGAAGCAGGGAAGGAAAAUGAAUGCUGCUGAGUCUGCAAAAGACAUUCCCCAAUUUGUUGAAUUCUUUAAGGAUCAAAUCAAUUUGGCUGAAGUCAAGUAUCCUUUGGAAAAUUUUAAGACAUUCAAUGAGUUUUUUAUAAGGGAGUUAAAGCCUGGUGCAAGACCAAUAGCUUUCAUGGAACGUGAUGAUGUUGCUGUUUGUGCAGCUGAUAGCCGUCUGAUGGCAUUUAAAAAUAUAGAAGAUAGUUUAAGAUUUUGGAUCAAGGGCAAGAAAUUUUCUAUUCAAGGCCUUUUGGGGAAGGAAAUAAGUUCUUCCACUUUUGUUGAUGGAUCGUUGGUCAUAUUUCGAUUGGCACCACAGGUAUUUGGUACAAGCUACCUUUAUUAAUUCAUAACUUGAAUAUUUGGUUGGAAAUUUAAGUUUUGGAAGAAAAUAAGAGACCCAAGAGCUUGUUGGGUCCAAAUAAUUUCUCCCCUUAAGUUCUAAGGGAGCUUAUGUUUGAACCCACAUAUGCUGGGAUGAUGAAGAAAGUGUCUCAGGAUAUAGCUGCAGUUCAAUCUCUCAUUAAUAGUUUGGAUGUUGAGAAAGUAAUGGUGGAGAAAUGUGGUGACUGGAUAGUAGGACUUUCUUCACUAAUUAAUUUGUAUGUGUACUUGCUCUUCAUUUAGGUGCUUAGCGUAAAACUUUUGGAUUUUUCUCCACUUCAGUGCUCUUCAGCUGGCUUCUUAUUUUUGUACUGGAACUUCCUGAAACUACGUUUAUAUGUUUUUCAUUUCUGGCCAUAAUUUCUUUUCAUUGUUCCAGGAUUAUCACCGUUUUCAUGUACCAGUUUCUGGAACCGUUGAGCAAUUUGUCAAUGUCCCCGGAAAUUUAUACACAGUUAAUCCUAUUGCUGUCAAUAGCAAGUAUUGUAAUGUUUUCACAGAGAAUAAGCGAGUCGUAUCAAUCAUUUCUACUGCAGAAUUUGGAAAGGUUUAUUGUCACAAACUCACAAUCAUCUGACUUACAAUUUUUAGUUUAAACCUCCUCACCUGUAGUGUGUAAAAACCAUUCAUUUGCAAAGGCGGCGAUCUAAUUUUCGCAUGCUUGAUGUUGUAGGAAUAUGGAUGCAGUGGCACCCUGGUUUUAGGCUAGCAUCUGUUACCCUUUUUCUGUUGGUUGAGUCUUCAUAUUUAAAAACUCGGCUAAACCUUAAAAAUCUUAAUUUCAAUGUAGUAGUUGUCUAUAUGACUUUUUCCUCUGUUCUACUUGGUUGGGUGCCCCACGUGAGUUUGAAUGCACACACACACAUAUAUAUAUUGGCACAUCUUAUUCUCAGAUAAUGCUUAGGAUUUUGAAAUGCUGGAUCAUGGGUUUGGUUUCUACUGUGCUCCUAUUGACCAAAGGCCAUUUUUUUGCUGAAGUCUCCCUGCGAGCACAAUGAAGUUUUUACUAAAUGCAAUCAUUUGGAUGGAUGAAUCACCAUUUCUAAAUCCAUUGGUGGCCCAUAUGGCAAUGCAUGGACGCCAUCAUAUAAAUUUUCUGCUAUGGAAAAUGUAGUCAAUGUGUUUCCUUGUUUUCUUCUUUUCAUCUGGAUUUUAGGGAAUGGAAGGGGGAUCAUAAGUUGAAGGAUGUGAACAAUUUGUGAUUUCAGGGUUCAAGGAUUGUUCAAAGUUCUCCUUGUAUGUAGUGAUACGCAAGUAAUCUUAUUCUGCUUAGGUUUGAAUCCAAUCUAGAGAUAACUACUGCAUUCAUAUUGUGCCAGAUUAAUGCAACAGAAGCCAACCAGCUCACUUGUUUUAACUUUUAGCCCUUGACAAUGAAGUGUUUAGCUUCAAAACUUAUCUUAGAAGAUGCUGCACUAUUUCAGUUAGCUAAAAUGGACAAAUUAUUUCUUUUUAUUUUUGCUUAAGGUGGCAUUUGUUGCAAUUGGAGCAACGAUGGUUGGCAGCAUCACAUUUUUGAAAAAGGAGGGUGAUUCCGUCAAGAAAGGAGAUGAGUUUGGAUAUUUUUCAUUCGGUGGAAGCACAGUGAUUUGCGUCUUUGAAAAGGGUGCAAUUCAGAUUGAUGAAGAUCUCCUAGCCAACAGUUCCAGGUCACUAGAAACCUUAGUUUCUGUUGGAAUGAAGUUGGGUAUUGCCACAAGAAAACAAUCAGAAACUGAUUUGCCAAACUUGGAAAAUUAGGUGUUAGAAGCUUGAGAGAGCUCAAGUAUUUCACAUCAUUUUGAUUCCACGUAGCAUGUAGAAUUCUAUGUAAACUUUGAAUCUGGCAUAAGAGUUAAUAAUGCCCAUUACCAUUAUUAGCAGAUUAAUUCUGUAGCUUUACUGUUCCAUAGAAUCAAUUCCAUUAAGAACUUUAUCCACAACUAUGGUUAUUGUAUUAGCUAUUAUAAUUUGUUCAACCAUGGAGUAAUGUUUGAUUGAAAUAAUUUUUUCUUUUUUGUUGGUUUUUAUAAUUGGC
rnacentral:misc_RNA from 1 species